GAUGAACGCUGGCGGCGUGCCUAACACAUGCAAGUCGAGCGAACAGACGAGGCGCUUGCUCCUUUCUCGUUAGCCGCGCACGUGAGAGUAACACGUGUAUCAUCUCCCUAUCAGACUGGGAUCAUCUCGGGAAACCGGAUCUUAUCCCGUAUAAUCUAUUGCAGCGCAUUGUUCAAUAGUGAGAUACGGUUUUUCUGUCUCUUAUAGCUGGAUCUGGGCCGCUUUAGAUAGUUGGGAAGGUCACGGCUUAUCAAGGCUACCAUGCGUAGCCGAACUAAGAGGGUGAUCGCCCACACUGGAGGUGGAACGGGGUCAAGAGUCCUACGGGAGGCAGCAGUAGGGAAUCGUACGCAGUGGGCGAAAGCUUGACGGAGCAAGGCCGAGUGAGUGAUGAAGGUCUUGGGAUCGUAAAACCCUGUUAUUAGGUGAGAACAAAUGUGUAAGUAACUAUGCACGUAUUGACGGUACCUAAUCAGAAAGCAACGGCUAACUACGUG
rnacentral:rRNA from 1 species